AGGCAAGAUGUUGGCAUAGCUGUUGAGUCUAACAUCAGCUGUGUCCUCAUACUGCCCUU
rnacentral:pre_miRNA from 1 species